CUACGGGACGCACCAGUGGGGAAUAUUGCACAAUGGGGGAAACCCUGAUGCAGCAACGCUGCGUGGAGGAUGACGCAUUUCGGUGUGUAAACUCCUUUUAUAUAGGAAGAUAAUGACGGUACUAUAUGAAUAAGCACCGGCUAACUCCGUGCCAGCAGCCGCGGUAAUACGGAGGGUGCAAGCGUUACUCGGAAUCACUGGGCGUAAAGCGCGCGCAGGCGGCUUUGUAAGUUGGAAGUGAAAUCCACUGGCUUAACCAGUGAACUGCUUCCAAAACUACUUAGCUAGAGUCUGGGAGGGGAAGAUGGAAUUAGUUGUGUAGGGGUAAAAUCCGUAGAGAUAACUAGGAAUACCAAAAGCGAAGGCGAUCUUCUGGAACAGUACUGACGCUGAGGCGCGAAAGCGUGGGGAGCAAACAGGAUUAGAUACCCUCGUAGUC
rnacentral:rRNA from 1 species